AUUGAGAGUGGAAGCAGUGGAUCACGUACUGUACAGAACAAGGAUUAGACAUACCUGUUGUCCUGGUACGAUUGGUGUUCUUUUUGUUACGUUGUUAUUAAACUCUCUGCAGAGUCUGCACUAAAAUAGAUAGUCGAACAUUGUAUAGUUUUAUUACUUUGCUGUAGUGUAUUUUGGAUGGAACACAACAUACAAAAAAAAGAGAGGGGGAAGUGCCUCGAUAAGUUGGAAUUUGGGAUAACUCAGCAAGGCCAGAGUCCCAUAUGUGCUGAGUUAUCAAGGAUUUACUGUACACUGGCGACUGGUGUCGAUCGGAGAUGAUUGGCUGUGUACCGCCACAUCACCAAUGAGAAAGGUAAUGGAUGGCUUCAUUCUUGAUAAAGGCAAGAAAAAAACGAAGAAGAAAUUGAAGAAAUUCUUACCUAUGUGCAGCAAUUGGGAAUUAUGCAUUAUCCUG